rnacentral:rRNA from 1 species
UACGUAGGGUGCGAGCGUUGUCCGGAAUUAUUGGGCGUAAAGGGCGCGUAGGCGGCUUUUCAAGUGACGGGUGAAAUCCCUCGGCUUAACCGAGGAACUGCCUGUCAGACUGGAAGGCUUGAGACCGGGAGAGGUGAGUGGAAUUCCCAGUGUAGCGGUGAAAUGCGUAGAUAUUGGGAGGAACACCAGUGGCGAAGGCGGCUCACUGGACCGGAACUGACGCUGAGACGCGAAAGCGUGGGGAGCAAACAGG